rnacentral:rRNA from 1 species
AUUGAACGCUGGCGGCAGGCCUAACACAUGCAAGUCGAGCGGCAGCGGGAAAGUAGCUUGCUACUUUUGCCGGCGAGCGGCGGACGGGUGAGUAAUGCCUGGGAAAUUGCCCAGUCGAGGGGGAUAACAGUUGGAAACGACUGCUAAUACCGCAUACGCCCUACGGGGGAAAGCAGGGGACCUUCGGGCCUUGCGCGAUUGGAUAUGCCCAGGUGGGAUUAGCUAGUUGGUGAGGUAAUGGCUCACCAAGGCGACGAUCCCUAGCUGGUCUGAGAGGAUGAUCAGCCACACUGGAACUGAGACACGGUCCAGACUCCUACGGGAGGCAGCAGUGGGGAAUAUUGCACAAUGGGGGAAACCCUGAUGCAGCCAUGCCGCGUGUGUGAAGAAGGCCUUCGGGUUGUAAAGCACUUUCAGCGAGGAGGAAAGGUUGAUGCCUAAUACGUAUCAACUGUGACGCUACUCGCAGAAGAAGCACCGGCUAACUCCGUGCCAGCCGCCGCCGUAAGAC